UACAGAGGGUGCAAGCGUUGUUCGGAAUUAUUGGGCGUAAAGGGUGCGUAGGUGGCGCCGUAAGUCGGAUGUGAAAUUUCGGAGCUUAACUCCGAAACUGCAUUCGAUACUGCGGUGCUUGAGGACUGGAGAGGAGACUGGAAUUCAUGGUGUAGCAGUGAAAUGCGUAGAGAUCAUGAGGAAGACCAGUGGCGAAGGCGGGUCUCUGGACAGUUCCUGACACUGAGGCACGAAGGCCAGGGGAGCAAACGGG
rnacentral:rRNA from 1 species